UACGGAGGGGGCUAGCGUUGUUCGGAAUUACUGGGCGUAAAGCGUACGUAGGCGGCUUUGUAAGUUAGAGGUGAAAGCCCGGGGCUCAACUCCGGAAUUGCCUUUAAGACUGCAUCGCUUGAAUCAUGGAGAGGUGAGUGGAAUUCCGAGUGUAGAGGUGAAAUUCGUAGAUAUUCGGAAGAACACCAGUGGCGAAGGCGACUUACUGGACACAUAUUGACGCUGAGGUGCGAAAGCGUGGGGAGCAAACAGG
rnacentral:rRNA from 1 species